rnacentral:rRNA from 1 species
UGGGGAAUUUUGCACAAUGGGGGAAACCCUGAUGCAGCGACGCCGCGUGAUUUAGAAGGCCUUCGGGUUGUAAAAAUCUUUUCUAUGGGAAGAAAAUGACAGUACCAUAGGAAUAAGGACCGGCUAAUUACGUGCCAGCAGCCGCGGUAAUACGUAAGGUCCGAGCGUUGUCCGGAAUCAUUGGGCGUAAAGGGUACGUAGGCGGGUAAGCAAGUUAGAAGUGAAAUCCUGUAGCUCAACUACAGUAAGCUUUUAAAACUGCUCAUCUUGAGAUAUGGAAGGGAAAGUGGAAUUCCUAGUGUAGCGGUGAAAUGCGCAGAUAUUAGGAGGAAUACCGGUGGCGAAGGCGACUUUCUGGCCAUAAUCUGACGCGGAGGUACGAAAGCGUGGGUAGCAAACAGG